UACGAAGGGGGCUAGCGUUGUUCGGAAUUACUGGGCGUAAAGCGCACGUAGGCGGAUAUUUAAGUCAGGGGUGAAAUCCCGGGGCUCAACCUCGGAACUGCCUUUGAUACUGGGGAUCUCGAGUCCGAGAGAGGUGAGUGGAAUUCCGAGUGUAGAGGUGAAAUUCGUAGAUAUUCGGAGGAACACCAGUGGCGAAGGCGGCUCACUGGCUCGGUACUGACGCUGAGGUGCGAAAGCGUGGGGAGCAAACAGG
rnacentral:rRNA from 1 species